rnacentral:sRNA from 1 species
AUCUGUAGACUCGACGAUUGCCUGAUUCAGGUCGGCGGGCCUGUUUCGGAUCCCAUCGCUCUGCCCAAGAGGCAGACCGCCA